AAGCCGUGGUGUGGGCAUUGGUUAGUAUAGCUCCUAAACCGUUCCCAAGCUUCACUAAAGCUCUCAUUAUUGUGUUGCGUGAAACUUGAGAUCUGAUUCCUGAGCUU
rfam:Eutrema salsugineum unplaced genomic scaffold scaffold_8, whole genome shotgun sequence.